GACGAACGCUGGCGGCGUGCUUAACACAUGCAAGUCGAACGGAGUGGCGAACGGGUGAGUAACACGUGGGUGAUCUGCCUUGCGCUUCGGGAUAAGCUUGGGAAACUGGGUCUAAUACCGGAUAGUGUCAGAUGAGCUCGCGGCCUAUCAGCUUGUUGGUGGGGUAAUGGCCUACCAAGGCGUCGACGGGUAGCUGGCCUGAGAGGGUGUACGGGAACAGUGGGACUGCGGUAGGGCCCAGAGGGCAAUGGUGGGCAGCAGGCGCGAAUAUUGCACAACGGGCGGAAGUCUGAUACAGCGGCGCUGGGUUGGUGAUGAAGGCCUUCGGGUGGUAAACGCCUUACGACUGGGACGCGGUACCGGUAGAAGAAGCACCGGCUAACUACGUGCCAGCAGCCGCGGUAAUAC
rnacentral:rRNA from 1 species